GAUGAACGCUGGCGGCGUGCCUAACACAUGCAAGUCGAACGAGGCAAAUAAGUUGAAGUUUUCGGAUGGAUUCUUAUUUACCGAGUGGCGGACGGGUGAGUAACGCGUGGGUGACCUGCCUCAUACAGGGGGAUAACGGUUAGAAAUGACUGCUAAUACCGCAUAAGCGCACAGUACCGCAUGGUACGGUGUGAAAAACUCCGGUGGUAUGAGAUGGACCCGCGUCUGAUUAGCUAGUUGGUGAGGUAACGGCCCACCAAGGCGACGAUCAGUAGCCGACCUGAGAGGGUGACCGGCCACAUUGGGACUGAGACACGGCCCAGACUCCUACGGGAGGCAGCAGUGGGGGAUAUUGCACAAUGGAGGAAACUCUGAUGCAGCGACGCCGCGUGAGUGAAGAAGUAUUUCGGUAUGUAAAGCUCUAUCAGCAGGGAAGAAAAUGACGGUAUCUGACUAAGAAGCCCCGGCUAACUACGUGCCAGCAGCCGCCGUAAGAC
rnacentral:rRNA from 1 species